rnacentral:lncRNA from 1 species
UCAUUUUGAACUCGAUAGUUGCUAAUGUACAGUAGAACUUUUCUUGAACAACUUAAAGGUAUGGAGAUGACUUGUCUGUUUGUAGCCUACCUUGCUCUAGCCUGUUGGGUCUCUAAAGGGAUUUUCCUUAAGAGGACGUUUGGAAGCAGUCUUACCAUAAUAUAAUUUUAAGAUGGAUCGCCACAGUGUUUCAAACCUUG